CAUCCCGUGCCAUAACUUGGAUGCCUGACUUCCGCGGCUCAGAGAGAAGGGUCAUGCUUUUCCACUGUCUGGUCUCCUUUCCCUCCUCUGACAGAGAAUCACUGACAUCCAGAUUAGCACAAGACUGUUGUCGAAGUUGUUCAGUCAUCACCAUUAUCAAUUUCCACAAUUUGCCAUGACCGUUUUAUCACAAAGUUUUGGAACCUGGAUGACCUACGUGGGACAAAGCUGUUAUCAGAGAGAACAGAUGCUGCUUGGAAACAUUAGCUGGCUUGACCAUACCAUUGCUGCUUACUGAGCAUCAUCCCCAAACCAGUCCAUUUGUGGAGCUCACAUUCCUGCCACUCAUUAACACUGCCGCUUUGCCUCCACAGUGCCUGGCAUAAAAUCAUUCCUUAA